CAGUAGCCGCGGUAAAACGUAGGUGGCAAGCGUUGUCCGGAAUUACUGGGCGUAAAGCGCACGUAGGCGGCUUUGUAAGUUAGAGGUGAAAGCCCGGAGCUCAACUCCGGAAUUGCCUUUAAGACUGCAGAGCUAGCAGGUGAGAGAGGUGAGUGGAAUUCCGGGUGUAGAGGUGGGAUUCGUAGAUAUUCGGAAGAACACCAGUGGCGAAGGCGGCUCACUGGCUCAUACUGGACGCUGAGGUGCGAAAGCGUGGGGAGCAAACAGGAUUAGAUACCCCGGUAGUCCCUGUCUCUUAUAC
rnacentral:rRNA from 1 species